GGCACGGGAGCUGGGUGAAGCGCACGUUCUGUUUCCGGAAGAGGAACAACCCGGAAGGAUGUUUGCGGGCGGGGUGCUGUGUGUUUACCCUGCUGGACUUAACGGCUGGUUGGCGCGGGAAGGCGGCAGUCCGCAACGACUUAGUGUUUCGGUCUUGAACCUGGCGAUACAUCUUUAACGUUCCUCCUUCUCUGUCCUAACAGUAUUGUGAGGGAAACGUGCGCGCCGGGAGCGUUGCGUUUGAAUCUUGAGAAACUCUGAGGGAAUAUUUAUUAUUGCCCCGGAAGUUUCACGACCUUCCCGCGGGCUGCCUGGGUUAGGAUCCAGCCCCGGGCAAAACUGCCACGGUGUGAAGCCUCCUUUGGUCUAAGGUGACGGAUGAAUCCGUCUUAGUGAAUUUUUUCCCUUUUUUUUUUUUCAAUAAAGUAAAUUAUUCGAACCGUUUUUCUGAGCUCAGUGCAUCUACGUAGCAUCAGCUUGCCGCAUCCGCCUGUAAAAACUAUUUAGAGAAUUCAAGACAAUUUUGAAGAAAAAUAGGAUUGAAAAGACAUUCUACAAGCAGGGAAAGAAGACAUAGCCAUAUUGUGCAUCUGCCAUGGACUGUCCUGUAGAACACAGCUGCAGUCGGUAAUCAAGAGGAAUAAGCAGGGCUGGGGAUGUGGCUCAAGCGGUAGCGUGCUCGCCUGGCAUGCGUGCGGCCCGGGUUCGAUCCUCAGCACCACAUACCAACAAAGAUGUUGUGUCCGCCGAGAACUAGAAAAUAAAUAUUAAAAAUUCUCUCUCUCUCCUCUCUCACUCUCUCUUAAAAAAAAAAAAAAAAAGAGGAAUAAGCAGACACACAGCACUAAGCCCAAUAACUUGAAGGGUCACCACUCCUUCCACCCCUGACUCAUCACAAGUCUUAUGAGGGUGGAGUGGCGGCCGGCAGCAAAGGUGUUGUAGUGGUCAUGAAGCAAACCUUUGGCCAGGCAACUUCCUCCCUCCUGUGUUUUAGAAAUACUUAGGUGCCCAUAGAGAUCAAACAUGUGUGAGCUACCAAACCUGGCUGGCAAGCACAUCUGGGCAGGCAGUUCACCUGUUUUUAUACCUUAUGCAGAGCUUUCCCUGCCCUGAUAGGAGGAAAUGGAGAUAUAAUCUUCAUGAUUAGCUAAUUUUAGAAUUGAGGCAGGCUAAGGGAAGGACUGUAGUUAAAACAGCUACAAUUGGAUCUCAUAUCCCAAUUAAAGCUAACUAUAGUAUUCUGAAAAUGGACCACCAAACUUUCUACUCCUCACAAGUGGACCACCAUAAAUGAGAAUUCACACUGGCUGCCCUCAGUGUCAGGCUCCUGGUCUGAAAGAACAAGUUCUGCACCAAUCUGUACAUAAGCACAAUCUUUGUAGCUAGAAACCCCAGAGGAGGGCAUUCACCCCACUGAGAGUCCCUUGAGCUCUCAACCUCUCCUUCCCACCAAAAAGCAAUCUUAAGACUACUUGGGUAAUGUCAAAGACUCAGGAGCCAACUUGAAGAAGUUUUCCCUGGUCUGAGACAAAACUGGUACCAUAGUAUAUUCAACGGCUUUCUUACUGAUGGACAUCUGGAUGGUUUCCAUUCUUGCUAUUACUAAUCGUGUUGUAAUGAAGGAUCAUGGACAUGUAUCUUAUUUUAGGAUAUAUUUCCAAAAGUUGGAUUACUAAUUCAAAUAUCAGUUCAUAUGUAAUUUUGCUGGAUAUAGCUAAAUGCUUAUCUGUGGGAAUGUUGACAUUUUUCAAUCAGACUGGCAAUGUAAUGGGAAUGCAUGUUUUCCCCAUAACUUCAUUAGGGAAGGACGUUGUCAACUUUUGAAUUGUUUCCAACUGUUAGAUAAGAAAUAGUGUCCACUGUAGUUUUAUUUUGUUCUUAAAAUAUUUUUUAGUUGUAGAUAGGCACAGUAGCUUUAUUUUUUUUAAAUAUGGUGCUGAGGAUGGCACAUGUGAGGCAAACACUGUACCACUGAACCAUAACCCCAGUCCCUCACUGUAGUUUUAAUUUUAUUGCUCUAUCAUGAAUGAGAUCAAAACUCUUCCUAUGCAUCUAUUGUAUAUUUAUUUAUUUUAUUCAUACCUGGGAUUGAACCCAGGAGCACUUAACCACUGAGCCACAUCCCUAACCCUUUACCACUGAUCUAUAUCUCCUUAU